rnacentral:tRNA from 1 species
UCUUAGAUAGUCUAAUUUAGGAUAUUACUUUGAAGCAGUAAAGGAAUGUUUUUUUAAGAA